rnacentral:rRNA from 1 species
GGAUGAGUGGCGAACGGGUGAGUAUCACGUGGGAAAUUCUGCCUAGGAGUGGGGGAUAACAUUCGGAAACGGAUGCUAAUACCGCAUAUCUUUUUGAACCGCAUGGUUCUUAAACGAAAGACGGCUUCGGCUGUCGCUCUUAGAUGAUCCCGCGGCGUAUUAGUUAGUUGGUGGGGUAAAGGCCUACCAAGACCAUGAUACGUAGCCGACCUGAGAGGGUGAUCGGCCACACUGGGACUGAGACACGGCCCAGACUCCUACGGGAGGCAGCAGUAGGGAAUCUUCCACAAUGGGUGAAAACCUGAUGGAGCAAUGCCGCGUGAAUGAAGAAGGUCUUCGGAUCGUAAAGUUCUGUUAUUAGAGAGGAACAAGUCAAGGAGUAACUGUCUUGACUUUGACGGUACCUAACCAGAAAGUCACGGCUAACUACGUGCCAGCAGCCGCGGUAAUACGUAGGUGACGAGCGUUGUCCGGAAUUAUUGGGCGUAAAGGGAGCGCAGGCGGUUGGAAUAGUCUGAUGUGAAAGCCCACGGCUUAACCGUGGAAGGUCAUUGGAAACUGUCCAACUUGAAUGCAGAAGAGGAAAGUGGAAUUCCAUGUGUAGCGGUGAAAUGCGUAGAUAUAUGGAGGAACACCAGUGGCGAAGGCGACUUUCUGGUCUGUAAUUGACGCUGAGGCUCGAAAGCGUGGGUAGCGAACAGGAUUAGAUACCCUGGUAGUCCACGCCGUAAACGAUGAGUGCUAAGUGUUAGGGGGUUUCCGCCCCUUAGUGCUGGAGUUAACGCA